UACAGAGGUGGCAAGCGUUGUUCGGAAUUACUGGGCGUAAAGGGCGCGUAGGCGGCCUUGUAAGUCCUGUGUGAAAUCCCCCGGCUCAACUGGGGAACUGCACAGGAGACUGCUUGGCUUGAGUUCGGGAGAGGGAAGCGGAAUUCCGGGUGUAGCGGUGAAAUGCGUAGAUAUCCGGAGGAACACCGGUGGCGAAGGCGGCUUCCUGGACCGACACUGACGCUGAGGCGCGAAAGCUAGGGGAGCAAACGGG
rnacentral:rRNA from 1 species